rnacentral:lncRNA from 1 species
CGGGGGGCUUUGCACGGGGCCUCACGCUUGGCGGCGCCGUGCAGAGAACGGGCAGUGGGAGCUGUGCCACCGGCACGGCCGCCACCACGCCGCCGGCUCGCACGAGGACGUCACCUUCUACCUGGUGAUCCGCCGCAAGCCGCUCUUCUACAUCGUCAACGUCCUCGUGCCCUGCGUGCUCAUCACGCUGCUCGCCGUCGGCGCCUUCUACCUGCCCCCCGACGCCGGUGCGUUGCACGAGGGGGGGGGGGGCUCGUGCAAGGGCCGGGGGUGUGUGUGUGUGUGUGGUCGCACGAGGGGUUUGCACCAGGGCGUUGCAGAUUCACAGCAGGGUUUGGGGGUGGGGGGGUGUUGCACAGCCGAAGCAUUUGCACGUGGACUUUGCGUGGUUUGUGUCAGAGCUUGCACGGGGGGCACGUGGGGGUGUUGCACAGCACCUUGCACAAGGGCAUUGCACUGUGCGUUGCACACGGGCGUCGCAAGAUGUGUUGCACGGGGGCAUUGCAGGAUGCAUUACACGAUGCUUUGCACAAUGCACAGUGCGUUGCGUGCCGUGUUGCACGCUGCAUUGCACGGGAGCACCGCACGCCGCACCACUCAAUGCAGUGCACGAGAGCAUUGCACGGGAGCACCGCACGGGAGCACUGCACGAUGCAUUGCACGGGAGCACCACACGCUGCACCACACGAUGCAGUGCACGAGAGCACUGCACGGGAGCACCGCACGCUGCAUUGCAUGAGAGCACCGCAGGGGAGCAUUGCACGGGAGCACCGCUUGCUGCACCACUCGAUGCAAUGCACUAGAGCAUUGCACGGGAGCAUUGCACAGGAGCACCGCACGCUGCAUUGCACGGGAGCACCGCACGAUGCAUUGCACGGGAGCACCGCACGCCGCACCAUGCGAUGCGGUGCACAGGAGCAUUGCACGGGAGCACUGCACGGGAGCACUGCACGGGAGCACUGCACACUGCACCACAUGAUGCAGUGCAUGAGAGCAUUGCAUGGGAGCAUUGCACGGGAGCACCGCAUGGGAGCACUGCAUGGGAGCAUUGCACAGGAGCACCACACGCUGCAUUGCACGCUGCAUUGCACGGGAGCACCUUAUGGGAACAUUGCAUGGGAGCAUU